rnacentral:rRNA from 1 species
AGGAAGGCUCUUGGGUUGUAACCUCUUUUCUCAGGGAAGAACAAAUGACGGUACCUGAGGAAUAAGCAUCGGCUAACUCCGUGCCAGCAGCCGCGGUAAUACGGAGGAUGCAAGCGUUAUCCGGAAUGAUUGGGCGUAAAGCGUCCGCAGGUGGCAUUGAAAGUCUGCUGUCAAAGAGUCUGGCUCAACCAGAUAAAGGCAGUGGAAACUACAAAGCUAGAGUACGUUCGGGGCAGAGGGAAUUCCUGGUGUAGCGGUGAAAUGCGUAAAGAUCAAGAAAAACACCGGUGGCGAAAGCGCUCUGCUUGGCCGUAACUGACACUGAAGGACGAAAGCUAGGGGAGCGAAAGGGAUUAGAUA